rfam:Oryza sativa Japonica Group DNA, chromosome 3, cultivar: Nipponbare, complete sequence.
GUUGAGGGGAAUGUUGUCUGGUCCGAGACCUAACACCGGGCGGAAUGGCGGAUUCAGCUGCAGCUAAGCAAGCUAGGUGGGGGGUUUCGGACCAGGCUUCAUUCCCCCCAAC